AGGCGACGACGGGUAGCCGGCCUGAGAGGGUGUCCGGCCACACUGGGACUGAGAUACGGCCCAGACUCCUACGGGAGGCAGCAGUGGGGAAUAUUGCACAAUGGGCGCAAGCCUGAUGCAGCGACGCCGCGUGAGGGAUGACGGCCUUCGGGUUGUAAACCUCUUUCACCAGGGACGAAGCGCAAGUGACGGUACCUGCAGAAGAAGCACCGGCCAACUACGUGCCAGCAGCCGCGGUAAUACGUAGGGUGCGAGCGUUGUCCGGAAUUACUGGGCGUAAAGAGCUCGUAGGUGGUUUGUCGCGUUGUUCGUGAAAUCUCACGGCUUAACUGUGAGCGUGCGGGCGAUACGGGCAGACUGGAGUACUGCAGGGGA
rnacentral:rRNA from 1 species